rnacentral:rRNA from 1 species
GAUGAACGCUGGCGGCGUGCUUAACACAUGCAAGUCGAACGGAAAGGCCCAAGCUUGCUUGGGUACUCGAGUGGCGAACGGGUGAGUAACACGUGGGUGAUCUGCCCUGCACUUCGGGAUAAGCCUGGGAAACUGGGUCUAAUACCGGAUAGGACCACAUUUUGGAUGGUGUGGUGGAAAGUUUUUCGGUGUGGGAUGAGCUCGCGGCCUAUCAGCUUGUUGGUGGGGUAAUGGCCUACCAAGGCGUCGACGGGUAGCCGGCCUGAGAGGGUGUACGGCCACAUUGGGACUGAGAUACGGCCCAGACUCCUACGGGAGGCAGCAGUAGGGAAUAUUGCACAAUGGGCGCAAGCCUGAUGCAGCGACGCCGCGUGGGGGAUGACGGCCUUCGGGUUGUAAACUCCUUUCGCUAGGGACGAAGCGCAAGUGACGGUACCUGGAGAAGAAGCACCGGCUAACUACGUG